rnacentral:rRNA from 1 species
GAUGAACGCUGGCGGCGUGCCUAAUACAUGCAAGUCGAGCGAACGGACGAGAAGCUUGCUUCUCUGAUUUUAGCGGCGGACGGGUCAGUAACAUGUGGUUGACCUACCUAUAAGACUGGGGUAACUUCGGGAGACCGGAGCUAAUACCGGAUAAUAUUUUGAACCGCAUUGUUCAAAAGUAAAAGACGGUCUUGCUGUCGCUUAUAGACUGAUCCGCGCUGCAUUAGCUAGUUGGUAAGGUAACUGCUUACCAAGGCAACGAUGCAUAGCCGACCUGAGAGGGUGAACCGCUAGCUUGGAAGUGAGAAACGGCACCGACACUGACAGGAGGCCGCAGUCGGGAAUCUUCCGCGAUGCGCGAAUGCCUGACGGUGCAAAGCCGCGUGAGUGAUGAACGUCUUAGGACGGUAAAACUCUGAUAUUAGGGAAGUACAUAUGCGUAAGUAACUGUGAACAUAUUGACGGUACCUAAAGAGAAAGCCACGGCUAACUACGUG